UUCUGGAAUGCCGAGUAGAUCAGAUGAUGAUCGAAAGGUCCCGGAAGUCGCCCGCACUUUCCACGCUCGACUGUUAACUGCGCUUUCAGCGCUCAGCUUUCAGCUUUCAACGAGCUGAUGGCUGAUCGCUGAAAGCUGAUAGCAAGCAGUUUGCUCUUUGACAACUGACGUUCGUGAGAUGUGUGGUGUUCGAGGAAUCACACCGAGAACUACGAGACCAAGCGCGUAA
rnacentral:misc_RNA from 1 species